GUAUUAAUAAGUAAGGUAUUACAUCUCAUUCCCAACACAUCAUUCUUCCUUUUUCUCUUCUCAACACCACUUUCAAUUUCUCUUACACGCUACUGUAAUUUUCUAAUUGGACUUAAUUUUUCACAAGAAAGCAGCUCUUGACAUGGCUCCUGGCUUGGUAUUUUCCCAGUGUCUAAUUUUCUGUAUAAUCUGUCACAAUAAAAAAUAAGCAUUACUACUUCUACCUUUCCAGGUGCAAUAAAUGAGAUUUUAAUCCAACAAAUUCAAUAUCUAAUGUAUCAAGACCUUUAUACUAGAGGAAGUUCUAGUUUAUUGACUUGGUUUGGUUUACUAAUUAGAUGACAUUAUCACUUCACUUAUUGUAGUUCUAAUGAGGUCAUUUACUGGAAAAAUGGUGUCAAUUUGAGAAAGGGGAAGAAUGGCGUUAUAUAGAUCUCAUUCCUAAAAUAGUGAUCAAUGAAGUGCUAUUUUAAUCAAAGUGCCACUCCGCCAAUACACAGUCAGUGUUCAUUGUAAGUAAUCAAGAUGAGCAUGGAAGAUUUCUUAUGACAAACAAAGUUUCGAUUAUGACCAUGGAAGAAAUAUGUAAGUUGCAGUGAUUGGGCGUCCAUGUAAAAUGUGCUCUAACCAAGUGGACUUCUUCAAAAGGAAGUGGAAUAUGAAGAAAUGAUAGAUUGUUCAGACUUUGCCUGUGGAGGAAGGGAGAUUCCUAGGUGCUCAACACUUGAUGCUCAUUGCCCUGUUCAAGAAGAAUAAGAAACUCAGAGUAUGCCCAAAUAGGUUGCACAUCCUAUUAGACAUCCUGUUGGAGCAGCAAUGUCAAAGAAGAUGUACGUUAUACAAAUAUUUGAAGAGAAGUAUCUAAAUCUGGAAACUACUAGUGUGUCUACAACCUCAGAAUUCCCCACUUAAGAAAAUGUGGAUCUCAAGUCCUACCUCAUCAGAUUUAGAGUCUCACAUCUCUUUAACAGCUUUAUGUUGCACAUUGUCUAGGUUCUGGUUUCCUUUGAGGAAACAAUUUCACAAAGAUUCACUUCUCUAAAAACAUAGUUCAUUCAUUUUAUAUUGUACAUUGUUAAAUGCAAUUUCCUUUUGACAUGAUUUCUUGCUACAACUCUCAUUGAUCUUUCAAUGAAACUAUUGUCAAAUCUGGAAUCCUAGCCCCCUCCCUUGUUCUUCAAAACUUCAUUUCUUUAACUUGUAGAGAUUAAGGGAUGCCUUGUUCUAGUCCUCCUUGCCAAGUGAAAGGUUGUCUUCUAAGUUUUAUCAAACUUCGAAAUCAAAGAUGUUUCAAGGAGAAUGAUAGAGAUUGGCCCCAGAUUGCCUGCUUCCCCUAAAAUGAGGAUACAUCAUAAACUCAUUUUUGAACCAUAAUAAAUUCAAAUUGCAAAAAUGGGUGCAUAGCCAAUUCAACCCUAUCCUAUCCUUGCAUUCAUUAAGUGGCUCAACAAUUUGUGGAAGUCUCCAUGGAGUUAUGUUGAAAGUUUGACUAGGAAGCAAGUUUUGAGUACAAUAGUUACAAACUUAUGGUUUCUACAACACUCCAUGUUCUUAUGUCUCUUGGAAAGUUAAGAACCUUGUUUAAAAUAUGGUACGCCUUCCAUGCUAAGAAGUCUUUUGCUCCGUGAUUUUGGUGGCUCAAAUAGCAACUUGCAUCUAUUUUGAUACAUGGAGAACUCAAGAGAACAUAUGGAUUCAUUAGCAGGAAUUUUAUCCAACAUACAAGCUUUUAGAUUGCAGAUUUGAAUAAUGUUUGAGGUGAAAGAGGCUUUUUGUUAUGUCCUGUUGUCUUGAGUUGUGCAAGUAGGAGGCUUGAAGAGAACAAACUCUUCUGAUUGGAAGAAAGACAAUUGAGUUCUCAUUCUAUGGUGUAGUGACGUGCCAAUUGGAUAUCUAGAAGUUAUAUGGUUUAAUGAAUUAGAAGCUACCAAGUGGGUGCACAACUUCAAGCCUUUUCAAUAGCUAAUAAUUGAUGGUUGCAUGCCCAAGAUGCCCCUUUCCUAUGGAUAGGUUUUUCAUUCAAGAUUUCUAAAUGUCCUCUCAUGUGUUUUCAAGAGGCCAGCUUCCUGCAAUCCUAAUGAAGGCGGAGAUCCUAAGUUGCUAAAAUUUGGGGUGUAGAGUAGAUGAAUGUUGUUGAAUGCAAAAGAAGAAUACUACUUCUCUUUAAUACUAGUAUGCUGCUUGGCUUUAUCUCUCACAUCAUUGUCAAGAGUUGCCUUACCUGAUCCUGAAACACCUUGGUAUUUAUGAUUGGAAUGAUUCACAAUUCAAGCAACAACAAGUCUCUGGAAUUCUUUCAGGUUUCUAAAUGUUCUCUCAUGUGUUUCCAAGAGGCCAACUUCCUACAAUCCUAAUGAAGGUGGAGAUCCUAAGUUGCUAAAAUUUGGAGUGUAGAAUAGAUGAAUGUUGUCGAAUGCAAAAGAAGAAUACUAGUUCUCUUGAAUACCGGAUUCUUUCGAUGAUGGGUUGUCCAAAUUCACUUUCAACAUAACUCCUAGUUCAUUCAGGUGUAGUGAUAUUGGUAGUUGGAUAUCUACAAUUCAUAUGGUGCAAUAUAUACGAAACUACCAUGAGGGUGCACAAUCCCGAGUCUAUUAGAGAGAUGGUUGCAUAUGCACAGGACACAUCUCUUUUCUAGGGAUAGAUUUGUAUAUAUCUUUUGGAGUUGCUAUUGAUUGGAAUGAUUCAAAAGUAGCAACAAGCCUCUAGAAUUCUUUCAGAUUUCUAGAUGCUUCCUUUCCAUGUCUUUCCAAGAAGCCAGCUUCCUGCAAUCCUAAUGAAGGUGGAGAUUCCGAGUUGCUCAAAUGUGGAGUUCAGACUAAAUGAAUGUUGUGAAAUGCUAAAGAAGAACAUCACGUCUUUUGAAUACCGGUGGUAGAGAAGGGGAUAAUUCACCACAACACAUUUCUUGUACAUCUUACAAUGAUGCUCUCUCACAAUGAUCAAAAGAACAUAGUCAAAACUAAGCAAUGAUAUGGUUUUGCCUCAAGGAGGAAGGAGAGGGAGCGGAGAGGAAGCAACCCAAUGCAAAGAUGCAUCAAAUUGUUGUGUCUUGACAAGGGGAUGAAGAGAAGGAGAACACAAGAUGUUGCUUAUUGGUAACAUGAAGUCCUCAUGAAGACAAAUUGUUUGGCUUGACCAAGAGAGGAUGAAACAGAAAAAAUAAAAUAAAAA